UACGGAGGGUGCGAGCGUUGUCCGGAAUCACUGGGCGUAAAGGGCGCGUAGGCGGCCGUGUAAGUCACCUGUGAAAUCCCGGGGCUCAACUCCGGGGCUGCAGGUGAGACUGCGUGGCUAGAGCACGGUAGAGGCGAGUGGAAUUCCCGGUGUAGCGGUGGAAUGCGUAGAUAUUGGGAAGAACACCAGUGGCGAAGGCGGCUAACUGGUCCAGCACUGACGCUGAGGUGCGAAAGCGUGGGGAGCAAACAGG
rnacentral:rRNA from 1 species